AUGGGAAAUGCCCUACCUUUGAAAUCUACUUCAACCGAUAUGCCCUUAGGCACGGCCAUGCAUAACAUAGAAAUCACACGUGGAAGGGGUGGGCAAUUAGCUAGAGCAGCAGGUGCUGUAGCGAAACUCAUUGCAAAAGAGGGUAAAUCGGCCACUUUAAGAUUACCAUCUGGGGAGGUCCGUUUAGUAUCCCAAAACUGCUUAGCAACAGUCGGACAAGUGGGUAAUGUUGGGGUGAACCAAAAAAGUUUGGGUAGAGCCGGAUCUAAGUGUUGGCUAGGUAAACGCCCCGUAGUAAGAGGGGUAGUUAUGAACCCUGUGGACCACCCCCAUGGGGGCGGUGAAGGGAAAGCUCCCAUUGGUAGAAAAAACCCACAACCCCUUGGGGUUAUCCUGCGCUUGGAAGAACUAUUCUUAGCAUGA
rnacentral:rRNA from 1 species